rnacentral:lncRNA from 1 species
ACGUUGCUUUUAGGAGCCUUGCUGACCCAGGCUGCAACAUCACUGAAAAGUUCCACCCCAACAUGAUUUACAACUCUGAAUGCCUGCGUCACUAGAGUCCCCUGCACAGUACCGGGCAGUCAGCUACACCACUCAAUGGAAGAGUCCUCUCCUCCAUUGCUGGUCCCUGAUCACAUGGCUUAAAGGUGAGUCUUGUAAGUUUCAUGAGUUUCUUGAGUCUUAAAGUAGGUUGUUUGUUUGUUUGUUUGUUUGAGUUUCAUGAAUCUGGUGAACCUUUCCUCUGAGAGGGAAUAUUUCAAUCUAGAGCAUACAACUACACAAGAAGAAGCAACAUAUCACUAUAGAUUGCAUGUGGAGACAGAUAAGAGAAUCCAGAUAGCUGUCAAACCAGACAUUGGCAGGAUUUGCAAAAUGAAUAGUAAUGCCAUUCUAUAUAUUUUUUGUGUUUUAAAAGCAGAACUAUUCUUCAAAAGUGUUGUUUAUGUUACUAGGAAAUUGGUCUUUUUUGUUAUUUUUCAAUGAGCAAAUACAAAAAUAGUUUCAAAAUCUGUCUCAGUUUUUAACAGCAAUCAAUAGGAGAUGUACACACAAAAGGUUCUUCUUGAAUAUCAUUGCAUGGAGACGCCCCCAUGAGCAUUCUUCAACUUCCAGGUAAAGAUGGAGAAUUGAGCAAAUGCACUUUCUCUACACUCUUCUCAAACUCACUGAGUUGCAGUUAAUUAUAUUAUAUUAUCCCCCAGACUCACAAAAACAAAGAUAAUAAGAGGCAUUGAAGUC